rnacentral:rRNA from 1 species
UACCUGCAGCUCGAGUGGUAACCGCUAUUAUUGGGCCUAAAGCGUCCGUAGCCGGUUUGGUAAAUAUCUGGGUAAAUCGUGAGGCUUAACUUCACGAAUUUCGGAUAGACUGCCAGACUUGGGAUCGGGGGAGGUCAGAGGUACUCCAGGGGUAGCGGUGAAAUGUUGUAAUCCUUGAAGGACCACCGGUAGCGAAGGCGCCUGACUAGAACGAGUCCGACGGUGAGGGACGAAGCCCUGGGGCGCAAACCGGAUUAGAUACCCGGGUAGUCCAGGGUGUAAACAAUGUGGGCUUUGUAUUGGAGGUCCCACGUGGGCGUCCAGUGCAGAGGAGAAGUUGUUAAGCCCACCGCCUGGGAAGUACGGUCGCAAGGCUGAAACUUAAAGGAAUUGGCGGGGGAGCACAGCAACGGGAGGAGCGUGCGGUUU